rnacentral:rRNA from 1 species
CCCUGCCCCUUUCGAGGGGGACGAACAGUUGGAAACGACUAGCUAAUACCGCAUAAUGUAUUCGCAUGGCAUCAUGUGAAUACCAAAGAUUUAUCGCCGAGGGAUGGGCUCGCGUCUGAUUAGUUAGUUGGUGAGGUAACGGCUCACCAAGACUGCGAUCAGUAGCCGGACUGAGAGGUUGAACGGCCACAUUGGGACUGAGAUACGGCCCAGACUCCUACGGGAGGCAGCAGUGGGGAAUAUUGGGCAAUGGGCGCAAGCCUGACCCAGCAACGCCGCGUGAAGGAAGAAGGCUUUCGGGUUGUAAACUUCUUUUACCGGGGACGAAGAAAGUGACGGUACCCGGAGAAUAAGCCACGGCUAACUACGUGC